rnacentral:misc_RNA from 1 species
GAUGAAGAACGUAGCGAAUUGCGAUAAGUAAUGUGAAUUGCAGAUUUUCAGUGAAUCAUCGAAUCUUUGAACGCACCUUGCGCUCCUUGGUAUUCCGAGGAGCAUGCCUGUUUGAGUGUCAUCGAAUUCUCAACUACACUGACUUUGAAUUGGUGUGGCUUGGAUUUGGGGGGAAAAUUGUUGUGGGCUUUUUGUAUAGUCUGCUCCCCUGAAAUUGAUUAGCGGUACCUUUGUGGAACUGUCUACAGGUGUGAUAAUUAUCUACAUCUUAGACAUCUGCUGGAAUGCUGCUUUCUAAACCUUACUUGUAUUGACAAUCUUGACCUCAAAUCAGGUAGGACUACCCGCUGAACUUAAGCAUAUCAAUAAGCGGAGGA